GGGUGAGUCAGUGCAGCUCUCAGCAGCUUGAAGCAGGUUCUAUAUGACAGACAUUUCAGUUCUUUCACCCUGUACUGAAUUAAGGUGCGGCUAAGGACUUUGGUCAUGAGAUGUGGCAUUGUUCCAACCUGAAAGAUGGGGGGAAGGAGGGAGGGAGAAAGGUUACUCCCAGCUGUCCACUGCUGCACUCUUUGCUCCUUUGUUUCUGGUGAUCACUGCUGCAGUAAAAAUUGUUAGUAGCUGCAUGAGGAAAGCUAGCCGAGCUGGGGCAUCUCUGCUCUUUAACUAAGAAUUUCAUCCAGCGUCAGUAAUUUUCCCUUUGAGCCCUCUUGCUAAAUGUCCUUGGUGGCGGAUGAAUCCUGAGCAUUUAAGGAUGGGAACCGAGCUGUUGAAAGGAACAAGUUGUCUCAUACCCAACCUCUUGGAGAUACCAAACCAAACUUGCAAAAAUGUACUGAUGAAGAACUAAAUAGUAUUGGCUGGAGAUAAAGAAAUCCCAGACUUUCCUUAUCACUAUUUUUGUAAGCAAUACUGAUGGAAAUACAGGAAGAACUGUGAUGAUCACAGAAUUGAAGUGCUGACAAUAGGUUUGUCUGUGCUAAGUGUGCUGAAUCCUGCUGGUUUGUGAAGAUCUUCAGGCCAAGUGGAGCAGUGUGACACACUCUGAAGAGGUCUUACACCUGCUGAGAAUGGUGGAUUUUUACCAUUCAUGGACAGGAGCUUAGCAUAUGGAAGCAGCUGUCACAGAAGAUGACUCUGGAGAAACUCUAUCCAAACAAGAGAAGCAGCUAGGAGGUGACAUUUCUAAGCCCUUCUUUCUGCCCAUUCUUUACUUGCUAAAUGUCAUCAUAUGGGAACUGCUGAGUCACGGCCUGAACCACUGAUUGAGCACCUGGGGAAAGGACUGAGUCAUCCUUGGGAGCGCAGGUGAAGGUGAUUCAGCUGUGUGACCAGAAGGAGUGGAGCCUGGCUGCACCUCUCCUAGACCCCAUUUAAGGGCUGAGUGCCACUGGGGAAGGUUCUUUUUCUGGAGAUCUCUUCUUGGUGGAGUUUUUCCUUGUGAACCUGGAAUCCUCUGAUAUGGGCAGGUUUGACUGAAUGAAAAUUCUAAAACAUCUGUCAAGGUCUGACAUGAUAAUUCUGAGACAUUUUAGCACUGGCUGAAAGUCAGCGUGGGACAGUGUACCACGAACGGUCCCUUGCCUAAUGCAGAAGUGCACGCUGGUCCUGAACAGUUUGUAACUGAAGUGAAAGCACAGAAAGGAAGACAGAAUGUGGAAGGGACCGGUUCUCUCCUGAAGCCUGGAGAAAAUCACUCUGAUAGCACCUGAAGGAUCAGUAGAGGAUAGUGCUUCAAUUACAGACAAGAAGCCGGGCCAAGAAGGAGCUCUCAUAAUGCUCACGGUGCUCAUUACCUUUGGCUUCUUGCCUUAACAACUGGUGUAUGCUAUACCAGGUGUAUAAAUUUUCUGUGUGGUUGCUACAUAUUCUCCAUGCUCCGACUUGGCAGUCAGUCCUCUACUCCCUCCUAUGCUUCCUUUAACCUUCUGAAAUCAUUAAGGCAUUUACAUUUAUGUAAAGCAGAUCCACACCACUUCUGAGUUACAGUUCCCGUGCAUGGCACUCUCUUUGCAAAGGUGUCAGUGGUCACAUCUGGGGCAAAGACACAGAGUGAGGAUUUCUGAGCUGUAUUUGUCUCGCUUUUUGUAGGUCGAUGUUUUUACAGAAGUUGUGCCACUAAAGCAAAUGCCAUUGAGAGCUCUCCACUGCACUCUUUGCAUGAGCUCAUAGAAAUGACCUUUGUGUCAGUUCACCACUGGAAAACAUUUCUAUCUAUGUCUGAGCAAUAAACACCUGGAGAAAUCCAAAGGAUAAAUUCAAAUAACAUUCUGCUUUUGCAUCUGGCUUGUACUAGUCAAUAGUACAUAAUGCGAUCGGAUAAUAGAAGAGCGUAUGGAGGGAUUCUAACACUCAGUUACCACAUCUGUCUCUCUACAUUAUCAUCAUUAGGGUGUUUAGAUGCAAUUUGUCUCCCUUUCCAUGUGAAAGGCUCAUGUUCCCUCCUAUGAGCUGGGCACCAGCCCAACCAUGAUGGGUUGUGUCCGUGGGGGACGCCUUCACUUUGAUACCUGCUAUUAGCCAUCAUCAGCCCAGCAAGCUCUAUUUUGAUCGCUUAUGUGCUUGCAGUCUUCAGCCAAGCAGGGAAGGAAACAGUGAAUGUUUUUCUGACGUGGAAAUAGGCGAGAGAACCAAGGGAGAAAAAAAUAAAGGUAUGUCCACUUUUCCACAGCUGACAGAUUUUACAGCUCAGACAUAUGGAAAUUCAGCUAAGCUGGACUCUGCUGCCAUUUUAAUUAAAUAUAAAUAAAGAAGAAGGAUGCUGGUGGGGUUAAGGCCAUUGGCUAAGGCACAGGAGAUCAGGAGUGAGUCACUAGCAACUGCCACAGUCUGACACUGGGCAAAUCAACCUCUUGUGUCCCAGAUUUACAAAAUAGCUUGAGCAUUUAGACUUCACGUUCCUCUGCACAGGGACUGGCUUUUAUGACAUAUUUUCCAGCAUCUAGUACCCCGAGGCACUGAUCUCAGUGAGGUCAUCUGGUUAUUAUCAAACACAGUACCAUCUACUCCUCCGCACUCUGGCUUAGUUCUUUCCCAAAGAAGCUGCAUGUAAAAAGGAACCAAGGAAAAAUACUUAGCUGAAGCACAGGAAUUUUUCCUUUUGGGUCAAAUUUUAAAGUAAAAUGUCAUAGCUAUUUCUGUUAUGCUAGAACCACAUUACUCACUGCUAAUUAAGAUGUAACAGGAAGAACUGAAGCCACAGCAACUCUCUUUGUUGUCCAGCUUCCAGGCAGUCAGCACUGAGGUGAUCGGAAAGUCCUUACAAUUGAGUUCCUUCGCUCCCAUUUAAAACACUCUUUGCACUGUAGUGCAUACUUUGUCAUAUCUGGUGCCUUGUCUGGGAGGUGGCUCUUCAUACACGCCUUGGCAGAAGAUGUGAGGGUCCCCGUUUGCUCUAUUGUCUACUGGGAAGGAAACUACAAGAUGCUUUUCACUCUCUCUUUGGGUCAUGUACCUGAGGUGUUUCGGCAGCGUGAAGCCUGCAGCUUGCAGGCAUCCUGACGUGAGCCCUAAUCCAGGAUGUCGCCUAUGUUGGCCACAGUGACACACCCAGUUGUAGUAUACACAGAUGCUGGAUAUAGAAGAAGUCUAAUUUGAAUCAGGAGAUCUGGGUUCUGUUAGUGGCUCUGCUACAUGUUUCCUGUAUUGCUUUAGGCAAGACAUUCAGGACCUGAUCCAACCUCUGCUAAAUUCAACAGCACUCCUUCCUCUGGCAGCACUGUGAGAUGGAUUCAGCUUCUAGCCUAUCACUUUUCCAGACUCUAUAUUCCUCAGUGGUGCAAUGCUACCUGUGCACUCUAUAGGUAUCUGAUAUGACUUAAACCAUUUUCUUGUAAAGCAGUUUGCUACUUAGGCGUAGCAUGAAUGUGCAAUUGAAUUAAAUUCUUGAUUCAGCAAAAUGCCCAAACCUCUCACGGGCUUAGGUCAAGUAAAUAGAUACUGGUGAAAUUCAGGCUGAAUGUCAGUAGGUGUCGACACGCAGUCUCAAACACAGAGGAGGUAAAUAACUUCAUGGGAGCUCCUCCUGGACCCGAUGGGAAGCACAUGCCAAGCGCCUUGUUGGAGACAUUGUUACUGUUAGUCAUACCCGUCUGCUCCAAACCCAGUAUGUGCCUAAACGCAUUGCUCAAGCAACCCCAAAAAACACAACCCUCGUGCUAUCUAGCACAGCACAUACAAACACAACAGCCUGGAAAAUACCAAAGGUGAUUUGCAUUUGAUUAUGUGAAAUGUCACAAAUCACUACUAUUUUUUUUUUUAAUACAUCUAAAGAAACAUAGGGAAAAAAACAACAACAAAAAAGAACAGAGCUACGUAGCCCAUGCUGAUUUCCAGGAACCUCACCUACUCUGUAACCCUUUGCUUUUGCAUAAUGCUGAAAUCACAGCACGGAUGUAUAUUCUGAAGGAAUUGUGUUGGUGGUCCCUUCGUGCUUUCUGAACAUCUAACAGUUAGCUAAGCAAACACACGUGACUGAUUAAAAGAAGAAAGGGAACUAUUUUUACAGGGACCAUUAAACUUUAACUACCAUCUGGCAGGGAAUGAUUAGAGAAGAUCAAAAUUAAGGCAGUCAACACAAACACUGUGCGGAUACCUCAGGGAAUUAAUGUGGAUGGAAGACGGUGAACUUGUGGCUAUGUUAAGAGACAGGCAGCGGAGGAAGUGGUGAACACAUCCUUUAUGAGGGCUGCUUUAAUGGCCACAUUCACAGCAACAGGAGCAGAGAAAGAAGAAUUCAGGAGCACCUGGGAAUAAUCAGACGCUUGCUGUCAUAAAAAGAGAAAGUUAAGGCAUUAUACAAGAGCCACACCAUUUUUGUUCCCCAACAAGUCAGGAAGGAAAUUUUUAUUGUGGAGGUGUGUUGAAGUUGGCAGGUAGUUAAUAUUCAGAUUAGCCUAGUAUCUUUACACGGGCAUUUUAAAUAGGGUCUGUAAUAAAUCUUCUAAUUGAAUGACCUUACGGAGUACAGACCUGUGGUUGAUCUGACUGAACACUGGAUGUCACUAUGUAUACACACUAUUAGUCAUUUUAGAGGCAUUAAAAGCACUAUCCAGACAUGAAUCUGUGCAAGCCAGCCAUGUCUUUGUCAAAUUAGCAAGCGUAUGCGUCUCUAAUUAUUGGUGUUCCUGAGAUAGUAGUUUCAACGAGGUGAAGCUCGUGAGCUGUAGGAACACAGGUCGCUUCUCCCAGCAGCUAUCCUGCUACCCAGGCAUGUGCUGCCCUUCGGUGCUCCCUGGCUGGAGUGCCAUAGACCACCUUGGUUCUAGUGGUGGGGUUCGGAUGUUGGGAUAACGAGCUGGAUGCUCACUGCAGCCCUCACAGCUGACACUUGACCAGGCAGCCAUUCUAUUUGCCCUUGUGGUUGGUACUUAUCAAUCGAAUUACAGCUCACACAAAACUGCAAGAGCCCCCAGGAGCCAGAUCUCACACGUGGCACAGGUGAUCUCCAAGGAGCACAGUAACCAAGAUCCUGGAUGGGGCGCUGCUGGGAAGACCACUUUGUAGUUGUGAUAUCAAUGUUAACUCUCUGAAAGAACACAAAAUUGACUGGUAUGUGAGGUAAUUGGGAAUGCUAACAGCUGUCUGUAAGCCAGGCCAUUAAUAGAACUAUGAGGGAAUGUUUUUAGGAGCUAAGGGAAAGAAGAAAAAAAAAGGAGUGCCUCUGAGAUCAGAUGGUAUGGAAAACAAAACUGUGCUCUGCUCCAGAAUGCCAGGUGAGCUGUCAAAAACGAAGGGGAGAAAACAAGCGAGAGAUGCUGGGAGCAAAUGAUACAGCAAUGUGCUAAUGUGCUCUGAAAUGAGGCUAGCUAUUUUCAUUUCUUGAGAUCAGUGUCGUAUUUUGCAGAUUGACUUUUCAAUAUCAUAGGAAAUAUACAUUAAGUGUACUGAAAAGCCUAUGAAAUCUUGUUAACUGUACCUGAUUUCAUCAACCUGCAUCAAGGAAAAUAGGACCAGAGAUACACAUUGCUAACCUGAAACGUACACUUAGUAAAAUAUUUUGUAACUCUAGACCUUGAUUCUCAAUAGAAUUUUCUAAUUCUGAUGUCUUCUUGCUACCCUAACCCUUGAAAAGCCUAAGACCUUUAAAAAUUUAACUUUUCUACAUGUUCUUAAAUUCAAUGUUGUUUCAGGGAGAUGUUAAAUAAAGUUUUACAAUAGU